rnacentral:rRNA from 1 species
UAAGUCUCAGUUCGGAUUGAAGGCUGAAAUUCGCCUUCAUGAAGCCGGAAUUGCUAGUAAUGGCAGGUCAGCAUACUGCCGUGAAUACGUUCCCGGGCCUUGUACACACCGCCCGUCACACCAUGAGAGUUGGGAAUACCCGAAGCCUGUGAGCUAACUUUUAGAGGCAGCAGUCGAAGGUAGAAUCAACGACUGGGGUGAAGUCGUAACAAGGUACC